ACACCGGCAGCUCAAGUGGUAGCCGCUUUUAUUGGGCCUAAAGCGUCCGUAGCCGGUCUGAUAAGUCUCUGGUGAAAUCCCACAGCUUAACUGUGGGAAUUGCUGGAGAUACUAUCAUGACUCGAGGUCGGGAGAGGCUGGAGGUACUCCCAGGGUAGGGGUGAAAUCCUGUAAUCCUGGGAGGACCACCUGUGGCGAAGGCGUCCAGCUGGAACGAACCUGACGGUGAGGGACGAAAGCCAGGGGCGCGAACCGGAUUAGAUACCCGGGUAGUCCUGGCGGUAAACGAUGGGGACUUGGUGUUGGGAUGGCUUCGAGCUGCCCCAGUGCCGAAGGGAAGCUGUUAAGUCCCCCGCCUGGGAAGUACGGCCGCAAGGCUGAAACUUAAAUGAAUUGGCGGGG
rnacentral:rRNA from 1 species